rnacentral:rRNA from 1 species
UCUCUCUGAAUCUGCGAACGGCUCCGCAUACCAGUUGUAAACCAUAGCAAGCCCGCCCCGGCAAUGGCGCAAGCCGGCGCUGGGGUAACAAGGAUAUCCCUGGUAAUUCUGAGGCUAAUACAAGAACGUAACCCCGCCGCUUCCUAUCGGCGAGGGUGUGUGAUCCAGCAAACGACGAAUCGGGAAUGAGUGCACGUCCAGACCACCAUACCAAACGUAUCCUGCUCGCGCCGCCUACCCCCCUCGGGGGGCGGGUAGCAAAGGUGGGGCACGGGUGGCUCUUGCGGGGUGCUUCUGACCUAUCAACUAGACGGCAGCGUAAGGGACAUGCUAUGGUCGCAACGGGUACAGAGGAUAAGGGUUUGAUCCUGGAGAGUGGGCCUGAGAGAUU